GGUCCCGUAGCUCAGCUGGAUAGAGCGCCAGCCUUCUAAGCUGGAUGUCGCAGGUUCGAGCCCUGCCGGGAUCGCCA
rnacentral:tRNA from 1 species